rnacentral:rRNA from 1 species
AUACGGAGGGUGCAAGCGUUACUCGGAAUCACUGGGCGUAAAGCGCGCGCAGGCGGCUAUUUAAGUUGGAUGUGAAAGCCUACGGCUCAACCGUAGAACUGCAUCCAAAACUAUUUAGCUAGAGUGUGGGAGAGGAAGAUGGAAUUAGUUGUGUAGGGGUAAAAUCCGUAGAGAUAACUAGGAAUACCAAAAGCGAAGGCGAUCUUCUGGAACACUACUGACGCUGAGGCGCGAAAGCGUGGGGAGCAAACGGGAUUAGAAACCCUAGUAGUCC